GCUCCAUUGCAAAUGGCGGCUCCUUGUUAUUGUUCAUGGCGUUUUAUGACUUGUCCCUUUAUAUUGCCGAUUAUGUCGAGUUUUUUCGCAAUUUUUGCCGCACGCAGUGUGCAUAAAGUGAAGUAAGGGCAGCGCGGUGUAUUUUCAAUCAAGAUUAGUGUGUUAGUGCUGUGUCUCGGUGGAAUUUGGAAGCGAGAAAUCCCGCACGAAGUUGGAAAGAAAUGGGUAGGCAACGGUGUUAGAGAAACGACACUGGGGUGGUUUGGCACAAAGAAGCAGCCUUUCGGUGGACUAACAGACAGUACAGUAGUACCUUGAGAAGUCCCCAGGCUCCCCGGGUAGUUAUGUGAUUGAUGAUUGUCAUGGCGGCAGACAGCGAUGGUGAUCUGAUCGAGACGGUAGUUACGUGCGAGGGGGAUCUCGGGGACCCAGAAUUUGCACACAAGUUCAAGGUUAUCGUCGAACGACUCGAAACCCUGCUCUGUCAAGAAAAGGGUGAGAGUUUGCGGGUGAACAAAGUGGAGCCAUGGAACUCCGUGAGAGUAACAUUUUCAAUUCCCAGAGAGGCUGCGUUACGACUACGAGAGUUGGCAGCCCAAGGCUCAUCAACUCUCACACAACUGGGCAUUCUCUCUGUUCAAGUUGAAGGAGAUCAGGUGAUAUCUUUGAGGAUAGCUAGUCGCUUUGGGGGAGAGGCACAAGAAAUAGUCUUGCGCUCCAGCUCCUCUCAAGAUGGGGGAUCCAAGACCCAAGGCGAUCCUCCAAUAGAAGUCAGUCAUGGUGAAUCCGAUUCUUCUGCUGCUGUAGCUGGACCUAGUAAUGCAUCCAGUAUUUCCUCAGCCCUACGCAAUGUUGCGCAAAUCAUAGCUGCUGGUGCUUCAGGAGAAAAGACUCCCCAAUUUCGAUCGCCUAAUGUGGUAGCUCCAACAGAUUGUGAUCCAAUUCCACCCUUUCUUGCAAAAUCAGUUCAACCAACCGCGGGAAGCAGCAGUAGUGGAAUUUCUGGUACCCAACCUACACCUGCUUCUGGAACUUCGCCGAGGAAUAACUACAACGGCCCAUUUCCAUUCGCCAGCAUGACACAUGCCGCCCAAGCCAUACACAACCGUGAAUCACAAGCUAGUACUGUUAAAAAUUCGGUGCAAUUUAAACAUCAUACGCAACCACCACCGCCCUAUCCUGCACAGGAUACUUUGAUAACUGUAACAUCAUUAAGCACUGGUCACACAACGACCUUACCUGUUACAACUGGACCAUUGACAAAUCAAUACAAACCAGUAAAUGCGGUAGCCUCAGGCCUGUCAUCGGCCAAUGGUAAUAAUUUGACCAACAGUUCAAACGGCAGUGGGAAUCAAGUAGCAUUGUCGAGUCCACUACUAGUAAAUCUGUUACAAAAUGAUGGUAACUCACAUCCCAACAACAUUAUAACCAGUCAAAAAAUGCUACCUCCAGCUACUGUAGAAAGUACUGGGAUAGUGAAUCGCAUAAGACCCACCAAGAAACCAAUUGCCAGAAGGAAAGAUUUGACUUCUCCGAGUGAUUCACCACCGAGUUUAGAGUCACUGCGAACUGAAGAUUUGCUCGGUGCUUCGAGUAUUGUCCCUGAUUUGACCCAAAGUUCUGGCCCAUCAGCAUUCGCUACCGUUAAUGUUAAUCAACAAACCCCAAUAACUCAACAACACUCUGGAAAUGUGAUAGCCUCAGCGCAAAAUUUACCGUCGACCCAAAGUGCGCACCAAGUAUCAAUUGGUGGGCAAAUGCAAACGUCGACAUUGCAUACCCAAGUACAAAUCCAGCAAAAGUUUCCCAUCAGACAAGAACUAGCUUAUCGACCAGCUCAGGUACAGAUACAAAAUCAACUACCUGUCAGGCACCCAUUAAGUAAUCAACAAGUUCGAGCGUCCUUACAGCAACGGCAACAGCUGAUACUCCAACAACAACAACAGCAGCUCAUGGCUCAACAACAAAUCGGUCAACAAAGUGGAAAUAGCAAUCAACUGAAUCCCCAACAAGCAGGAGCACUUGCUCAACCGCAGUUACUUCAGCACCAGAAUAGUAAUACCCCGUUACAACAACCAAUAGUGGGAAAUCAACAGCUUUUGCAACAGCAAAUGCUCCAUUCUGGACCAGGAAUUAACACUGCUCAACAAAGGCUUAAUUAUCUAGGGAAUAUACGUCAGGCAACACCUCCACCUUACCCUAGACAAGCAACUCCGCAGCAGCAGCAACCAACACAUUCAGGGCAGCAAAAUCAGAUGCUCAACGUACAGCAACAAUUGCAUCAUAAUCAAUUAAAAAACCAGAAUGUUAAUACUGGUGCGACGACAGAUUUUCGUUAUGGUCAGAGUCAGAAUAUCCUUAGCAGAAGCUAUCAGAAUUCAACAGGAAAUGGCACCACGUGGAAUGUUCAAAACAGUUCUGUUCCACAAGGCGCUCAAGUUAAUACCACACAGCGUAAUGUUGUACCAAGUCAAGCUCCUGCAUCAAUUUCACAAAAUGUGCCUCGAUUAAAUCACAUGAGUGCUGUAAGCACAACGUCGGCGACAGCCACCCUGGAAAUGCCUGAGCCGUCAAAAAGGGAAGAAGAGCCGGAACCAGAAUAUACGUCAACAGGAAAAAUUCGACAGUUCUUAAUAAAUCCAUUGACUGGUCUUCUGGAACCAAUGCCCAGCGAAAGUUCAGAUUCUGAACCAGAAAGUGCAGUUGACAACCAGGAUGAUUUUUUUUCAUUUCCAUCUCCGUCAAAUGACAGAUCAAAUUCCAUAUUCUCAGACGAUGAUGCAGACAGCAAUUUUUCCAGAAGAAAUGACACCACAACAAAUACAGAUCAAUCUGACUCUGAGACAACAGUAAAGUCAACUGCUAGUGAAGGCAGUUUGAAACACAAUAGGAUAAAAUCUAGCAGAGAAUCUGCUAACAGUCCAAUGCCUGGGGAAAAGAUUAAACUGCGGUUGAAAUUGGAGAAAUCUGAACCAGUUACACCUGCGUAUAAAGUGGAUGUCUCAUUUGUGAACACACCGCCGGUCAGGAAAGCUGAUAAGUCUGUGAAUAAAAUUUUUUCGGCCGGUAUCCAAAGUUCAGGUCCCGGUGGUGAUGAACCUAGAGUGCCUCCGUUACACAUCUCUUUAAGAGGUCGCAACGCGUCUGUAGUUCAAAUCCGAAAAAAGGAAAAAAAGGCCUUGAAAGAAGGGGAGCUUGAUUCUUUAACAAUAAAAAGGCGUGGUAAACUGAAAAAAAUGAAAGAAUCUACCGAUGGAAAUAAAUUGCUUCAAAAAAAGUCAUCCUUAAGCAUGAUAAUUGGUACUUCAUCCACAUCUAAGUUGCCAUUAGCUAAUUCAACCAUCAUUAACAGUACUAACACUGUGUCCAAGAUAAAUAGCACACUUCAAACUGCCAUGAACAAAGCAAACGUGUCGAAACAAGACUCUCCAUUGGAUAACCCAAAGCUGCAAACAUUAAUAGCUAAACCUAGUUCCAGUAAAGCAAGCGACGUAGAUGAUAUACCACUGAAUAGUAGAAUACCAUCUCCAGUUAAGCACAAAUCAGCAAUUCUGAAUCCAACUACAAAUGCUCAGCAGGUUUUGGCAAAAAGUCAAUUGGAAACUGAAGUCCAAAAUCAUACAAGCGAACAUAAAAUUGGAGGAGGUAAGACAAAAAGAAGAGAUUCUAAGAAGAAAUCGGACACUAAUGACGGCUUGUAUCGAGAGCAAAACUUAUUAUCUGGUGGUAGAAUUCUGGAUAACCAGCUAAAAUGGCGCAAACUUGGUUUCAAAGGGAACCCAGGGCAGCCCAUCAAGAAAACUGAAGCUGGACUAACGGAAAAUGUCACGAGCAAAGUUAAAAAAAUUGGGGAAGUAAGGAGAACAAGCGAUAGUGACAUUAGCAGAACUGUCAACGAAACUGCAAAUGCUUUGAGCGUGGUUGCAUCAAGGUUAACGGAAAUCAACGGAAUCAGAAAAGACCUCGUCAGUCAUGAAAAAAGAAGACGUCUAAGUUUGAUGGAUGAAAAGGAUCUACUUUUAGCAGAAUCUCAGAGUGCAGAGAUGACACAACCCCAUGGUCACAAGAGUCCUUCUGAUAGCCUGACGCAAAAAUCUAAUUCAAAAACCAGUACGAGUUUCGAGAAUAACACCCUUGGGUCAAAAAGUAUAAAUCCCCCAACUCAAAAUACGCCACAUCCUCCAAGCAGCCUUGAAAGUAAGCCCCCACCUUCCAGUGCAACUGAAGUGAUAUCUAAAAAUCCACAAGACACAUUGAACAGGUUACCAGGGCAAAUCUCUAAAAGCAAAAGCGAUACUGAACGGUCUGGUGCUAAGAUGAAUUCAACUUCUUUGAACAAAAUUCAUGGUGUUGCACCUAAAAUAAAAAAUCAUGUAUCUGCAAAAAAUGAGGUAAACCCAAACCUCAACAGGCAUAAGAUAGAUCAAUCUCAUAAGAGAAUUAUUCAGAACCAUGUAAUAAAAUCGCAAUCUGAUCGACCAAAUCCAGCGAAUAAGUCAGAUAACACGCAACGCAUCAGUCUUUUGAAGAGUUCACAGAAUACACCAGUUACCAACACAGAACAGACAAUUAGAGUUCAAAAUAUUGAUCUAUCGAAUAAGCCGAUACUGCCGAUUGGCGAAAUUAACGUAACAGAAGCAAAAGUGAAAGAGAAGUUACUGGAAAACACGGUUCCAGUAGGAUUAGGUGUAGAUGCAAAUGUGGAAAGAGUUGGAAAUGGCGGCGGAGGUGAGGAUUCCGGGAUUGAAUCUAUGGAUGCAUUAUCAGAGAAAUCACCAAAUCAAGGGGAGUCCCCAUUGCACAGACCAACAACCGAGUCCAUACCUCAAUCUACUAAUAAAAAUGCGAUUCAGGGAGAAACUCCUUUACAGACAACCAAUAAGAACGUGCCUUCCUCGACUAGCGAUAGUAAUAUGUGUUCAAACUCCGAAAUUCUGAAAACUGGUGAUCCCAAAAGACUAAGCCCCGUAUCCGUUGCUAAUUAUCUAGAGAAUCGGUUAAAACAUGACACAACUGUGAACUCCAGUGAGAAUUGUGUAACAAAUGUGUCCAGUGAAAAAGCAACAUUUAUAACAUCACGGAAUAUCGAGGAUGUGCCCAUCACAAGUACAGAAACUACAGACAAUAGCAAAAAUUUUCAGAGUCCAUUGGUUACAGCUUCUACUACUGUUAUUGCGACUCCUACGUUAACAACAACAAGUGGCGAUGAACUCCUACAGUGUACGAAACCUGAAAUCAAAGAUAUUGGACUUCUGGAUAGUUUCGAAGUAAAAACAGUUGUUAAACCUGACAGCCCUAAACAUACAAAUAACGAAAAUGAAUUUGAUGAACCCAACGUGAAUCAUGAACAAUCAAAAGUUGUCGAACAAGCGUUGGAGAAAAAUUUAGACAUUAUUUCAGACAACACUUGUACCAAUAUUCUAAGCGAUAGUCCUCUUGGACAAAAUAAUAAUGGUGUGCCUGUAAUUCAAAAUCACGUUGCUUACAGUAAAGGGAUAACAGAUAAAAUUGAGCCCACGUUAAUCCAAACAAAUCUGAAAAUAGAAAAUACAUGCUCAAAUAUUCAAAAUUUUACACCUGAGAUUAAAACUGAACCAAAUUUAGUGGUAAAGCUAGAUGAUACAAGGCAAAUAGAUAUUCCUAACAAUGUGGCUAAUCCUUUGCAUUCAAGUUGUGUCAUUAAAUCGGAAUCUGAUAAAUGUCAAAAAGCUAAUGUUCAAACUCAACAAGUUUUGGUUAAAGAAUCGCCAGUUAAUUUACACAAAGUUGGUGACGAGGUGGUUAAAAAAAUCGUUAGCGAUACCACGGACACUAGUGUUGAAUCGCCACUGGCUGAAGACCCUCAACCUAUACGGAUCACUCCUCCUUUGUAUACGUACUCCAAUCCGGUCGUUUCACAACGAGAUGAAACCCCCAGCCCAGCAGCACAUAAUCCAGAUGUAGAAACUAGCGAAGCUGAUCAUGCUAAACGAAAACGUAGAAGAAAACAGGAACUUGAAGGUCGACAAGACAUUAUAUGUAUAGAAGAUAACGAAGAUACACAUUUUCUUGAUAGAUUGAACUCUAACAAUUCAGAUGAUUAUGUUAAACCAAAAUCGCUCUUAGAACAGCUUUUAAUAGAAAUUCCAACAGAAAAUAACGAAAAAAGAUCACUGAGAACACGAUCACAAAAGUUAAAUAGUCCCGAUAUUGUUAAAACUCCAAAAAGCAGUCCACAUGGUCAACAUAAAAUUGAAGAACGACGCAGCAUAUCACCCUAUGCAAAAGCAAGUCCAAAGAUGGGGGUGUCUAAAUUAUCACCUAAUGCUUCAACAGCUAAGAGUGGGAAACGAAAAAGGCAAGAAAGUGAAAGUUCUGUCGCUUCCAGUACCGCUGAUGAUUCUCAGCCUAGACCAGGCAAACGGAAAUGCUCAGAAAAUGCUGCAGAAUUAAUCAAAGCUUGCAUGGGGGUUGAAGAGAGUGGAGCCACUAAAAAACAGAUUUCUACCAAGGAGGAGCCUAGUAGAAAAGUCUUCAACGUACUAUCGAAAUCAAAAAAAGGACCAAUUUUAGUUGAAGUGGAUUCUUCAGACGACGAACCGCUCAUCGAAAUAGCGGGAAAAGCAAGAAUGCGAAUGUCGGAUGAGGCGUCUGCUGCGUCUCCAAAGCCUAGAGAUCAAAAACUGAAUUCGAGCGGCACAGCAACGGGUCAAAUUAUAUCUAGUAACACAUCAAAUACAGCAAAUGCUACGAACAGAGUGCACAGAGAAAGCCGAUUGUUAACAACCAAACAGCCUACUAGUGGAACUUCUGUAUCAACUGGAAAAGAAAGACUAAGAGGAACAUCCGUAUCUAGUAAUGAGUCAAUAGGUGAGAUUCCAACACGCAGAUCGGUGAGGCAAAACACUGCUUCGCCAUUAGCAACUCCUGCGGGAAACACGCGGGGGGCUUCUAGAUCUGUGGAUGACGUAAACAGAAGAAAGACUCGAAGUGGAGCUGCAACAGCCGAGACGGCGGAGCAGGCGAAAAGGCGACGAAUAUCGCGAGAGACCAAAUGACCUUCGGAGAGCGACCUUGACAGCGAUUAGCUACCGUCGCUCGUCAGGGCUCGUCUGUCUAUUUGUGUGUCCAUUAAAACAAAGUUAGUUCAAUCACUGUGUGGCUGGACCCCACCUGGUGACCAUGUAGCGACAAUUACGCACAAUGUUGGUACAGUGUUGCUCGAGUGCAGUGUAAUUGGCGCAUGCGUUGAUCCGUGCGCGCAGCUUCGAGCAGAUUUCGUCUGCUUUCUAUGACAAAAGACACAAACUGAUGUCAGUUGAAGGCGUCCUGUUCACUGGAAAAUAAUUUCAACAAGACUGGAUUGAUUCGA